AGUAUAAGCAAUUAUACCGUGAAACUGCGAAUGGCUCAUUAAAUCAGUUAUCGUUUAUUUGAUAGUACCUUACUACUUGGAUACCUGUGGUAAUUCUAGAGCUAAUACAUGCUGAAAACCCCAACUUCGGGAGGGGUGUAUUUAUUAGAUAAAAAACCAACGCCCUUUGGGGCUUCUUGGUGAUUCAUGAUAACUUUACGGAUCGCAUGGCCUUGCGCCGGCGACGGUUCAUUCAAAUUUCUGCCCUAUCAACUUUCGAUGGUAAGGUAUUGGCUUACCAUGGUUUCAACGGGUAACGGGGAAUUAGGGUUCGAUUCCGGAGAGGGAGCCUGAGAAACGGCUACCACAUCCAAGGAAGGCAGCAGGCGCGCAAAUUACCCAAUCCCGACACGGGGAGGUAGUGACAAUAAAUACUGAUACAGGGCUCUUUUGGGUCUUGUAAUUGGAAUGAGUACAAUUUAAACCUCUUAACGAGGAACAAUUGGAGGGCAAGUCUGGUGCCAGCAGCCGCGGUAAUUCCAGCUCCAAUAGCGUAUAUUAAAGUUGUUGCAGUUAAAAAGCUCGUAGUUGAACCUUGGGUCUGGCUGGCAGGUCCGCCUCACCGCGUGUACUUGUCCGGCCGGGCCUUCCUUCUGGAGAACCUCAUGCCCUUCACUGGGCGUGUUGGGGACCAGGACUUUUACUUUGAAAAAAUUAGAGUGUUCAAAGCAGGCCUUUGCUCGAAUACGUUAGCAUGGAAUAAUAGAAUAGGACGUGCGGUCCUAUUUUGUUGGUUUCUAGGACCGCCGUAAUGAUUAAUAGGGACAGUCGGGGGCAUCAGUAUUCAAUUGUCAGAGGUGAAAUUCUUGGAUUUAUUGAAGACUAACUACUGCGAAAGCAUUUGCCAAGGAUGUUUUCAUUAAUCAGUGAACGAAAGUUAGGGGAUCGAAGACGAUCAGAUACCGUCGUAGUCUUAACCGUAAACUAUGCCGACUAGGGAUCGGGCGAUGUUCUUUUUCUGACUCGCUCGGCACCUUACGAGAAAUCAAAGUUUUUGGGUUCUGGGGGGAGUAUGGUCGCAAGGCUGAAACUUAAAGAAAUUGACGGAAGGGCACCACCAGGCGUAAAUGUAAACUGUUUGCUGCAGACGCUCUGCGCCAGAAAGGGGCCAGUAAUGGUCGGUGGUAGCUGCUGUUAAACCCUAGUCACUUUGCUUUUUGGGCUAUGUAUCUGAAUUUCCAGGUACUCCAAGCAUGUGGCGACACUGUCAAAUUGCGGGAAACUCGCGAAGCAUUCUGCUACCAAGCCGACUUGUUAAGAGCUGUUGGUGGCCAGGUUAAUUCCCUGGGUAUGGUAAAAAUGCAGUUUGUAUGUGACAAUCCGCAGCCAAGCUCCCCUGCAAUUGCGAGGAGAAGGUUCAGAGACUAAAUGGCAGUGGGUCAGUCAGUUAUACGCUGGUU
rnacentral:rRNA from 1 species